GGGCGAAAGCCUGAUGCAGCGACGCCGCGUGAGGGAUGACGGCCUUCGGGUUGUAAACCUCUUUCGACAGGGACGAAGCGCAAGUGACGGUACCUGUAGAAGAAGCACCGGCCAACUACGUGCCAGCAGCCGCGGUAAUACGUAGGGUGCGAGCGUUGUCCGGAAUUACUGGGCGUAAAGAGCUUGUAGGCGGUUCGUCGCGUCGUUCGUGAAAACUUGGGGCUCAACCCCAAGCUUGCGGGCGAUACGGGCGGACUAGAGUACUUCAGGGGAGACUGGAAUUCCUGGUGUAGCGGUGAAAUGCGCAGAUAUCAGGAGGAACACCGGUGGCGAAGGCGGGUCUCUGGGAAGUAACUGACGCUGAGAAGCGAAAGCGUGGGUAGCGAACAGGAUUAGAUACCCUGGUAGUCCACGCCGUAAACGGUGGGUACUAGGUGUGGGUUUCCUUCCACGGGAUCCGUGCCGUAGCUAACGCAUUAAGUACCCCGCCUGGGGAGUACGGCCGCAAGGCUAAAACUCAAAGGAAUUGACGGGG
rnacentral:rRNA from 1 species